AUAUGAACAACGCAAAAUACCAACGUUCCUUCAAAAAGCACUUCCUACGAGGUUACUACUUCCAAGCGGUGAUCCAUGAUGUACGGAAAUCGUCUAUUGGAAUGGAGAUCAAUUCACCUGUAGUCGAUCUUGGGUGCAGUGUCAGUCUUCCCCUUUGAGGUUGUGACUGGGAUUGCAAUGAUUGACCACACAU
rnacentral:sRNA from 1 species